rnacentral:rRNA from 1 species
UACAGAGGUCCCAAGCGUUGUUCGGAUUUACUGGGCGUAAAGGGUGCGUAGGCGGCGCGGUAAGUCGGGUGUGAAAUCUCGGGGCUUAACUCCGAAACUGCAUUCGAUACUGCCGUGCUUGAGGACUGGAGAGGAGACUGGAAUUUACGGUGUAGCGGUGAAAUGCGUAGAUAUCGUAAGGAAGACCAGUGGCGAAGGCGGGUCUCUGGACAGUUCCUGACGCUGAGGCACGAAGGCCAGGGGAGCAAACGGG